rnacentral:misc_RNA from 1 species
AUUUUCUCUCUUACUGAAAGGAAAAACACAGCGAUUUUUUCAAUUGUAAAUUUUGCAAGUUUUCUUUUUCAACUUAAGAAGAAAACGAUGUAUGCGACUUCAACAUCAGUUCAGAAAAGUAGGUUUCGUCUCCCUGCACAGAUUCCAGAGGAUCAACUCGGAGUAGAUGCAGGCAGUCUUCUCAAUUCUUAACUAAUUGCUCCUAAAUUCACAAAAGUUUACAAAUAUUGAAGCCCAAGUAUUAAUUUUGCCUUUUCUUGUUAUUCUGCGACAAGAUUAUUGGUGAUUAAUCGAAUAAUGAAAAUAUUUUGUUGCAGUUGUUAUCUUCCAGAGAAAAUUGGAAGAUUCUAAGGUCCAAUGUUUGAAACAAAAUUAAAUUUCAAUAUUUGGCUGUUCCAUGUUGUUGUAAGAUUGGAAAAUGUUAAGAUGAAAUUAAAA